rnacentral:rRNA from 1 species
GACGUAGGGCGCGAGCGUUGUCCGGAUUUAUUGGGCGUAAAGAGCUCGUAGGCGGCUUGUCGCGUCGACUGUGAAAACCCGUGGCUCAACCAUGUGGUCUGCAGUCGAUACGGGCAGGCUAGAAUUCGGUAGGGGAGACUGGAAUUCCUGGUGUAGCGGUGAAAUGCGCAGAUAUCAGGAGGAACACCGGUGGCGAAGGCGGCUACCUGGCCCACUCUUGACGCUGAGGCGCGAAAGCUAGGGGAGCAAACGGG